ACAAGUUGUUCUAAUCAGUGCUGUAAUCAGAACAUCCCCUAUUGUGAGUGAAAACUAUCAAUGCAGAUACAGAUUUCUUUCUUCAAUAAGUUAAACAGACAUUGCUAUGGUUUUGAAAAGCCAUGAGUCCACAACUGGUUGUCUCUUCAGUUGAUGAGUCAACAACUGGUUGUCUCUUUGUUCAAACUCUCUUUAGUUGAACUAGUUGCAAUAAGAGUAAAGUUUGGUGAGUUAAUUUUCCCUUCUCUCCCUCCCGUUUACUUAAAGAAACGGUUUGAAUUGCCCUCUCAUAAACACUCUUUUUCGCACGCCACAAAAAAUAUUCAAGCCACGGUUUCCACGUGAAACUUGAGUUGCUUGUUCCAUGUGUUUACUCAAGUAGACAAAU
rnacentral:lncRNA from 1 species